UAGUGCAAACAUUUUAUUUCAUAACCAUAAUUAAGUUUGAAAGACUUGGUAUUACUAGCAUAAUAAACAAGGUCAUUUAAUUCAAAAGUAUUUGCUACAUAGUAGCUAUGGUAAACGAAGGAGGCUCACUUCUGUUUUAUUGAUUGAUUACAUUUCUUAAAACAUUACCAUCAAUAAUAGAAGUUGUAAAUUGUUAAUUGCUAAAAUUCCAUUAGAGAGGGCAAAGUACAACAACAAAACAUUUUCUGUGAAAAACAAUUUGGUUGGCCAAUCCAGAAACUGUGAACAAGUGUGUCUCAAAAUUUGCAAAUAAUUAUAUUUUGUAUUGCAUUUAUUGAACACAAGUUUUAACACAAAAUACUGCUAAAAUAAUUCCAAAUUUCUGUUUUCUUAAAAACAAAAUAUCAUUUUGCAUAAAAGCAGAAGAUUCUUUGAAAAAGUUAUUGGUGCCUUUUUUUAUUUCAUAGCUUAAAAUUGCAAUUAAUGCCUUACAUUUCCAACAUACAAACUAUAACGUAUCAUAUAUGCUGCAUCACAUAGAAAUGAACUGUAUGCAAGUGCACAUAAACAUGUACAUAUAUGUGACUUUGAUUGAUUUUAGAACAUUCAAAUAUCAACUUAUAUAAAAAAGAAGAUGCGGUAUGAUUGCCAAUGAGACAACUAUCCACAAAAGACCAAAAUGACACAGUCAUUAACAACUAUAGGUCACCGUACAGCCUUCAACAAUGAGCAAAGCCCAUACCGCAUAGUCAGCU
rnacentral:lncRNA from 1 species